rnacentral:lncRNA from 1 species
UCUGUCUUGGGGUAAACCUGUCACCAAACGGUGCAACCCGAGCUGCUUUGUAUUCAGAUUAAUAGCUCGCCUCAUUUGAAUGCGAAAUAGCCCCAUUUAUGCGGUUAUUAAUAUAAAUAAAGAAAUGUAACAAAACCGUUUGGCAGCAAAAGGACAUUUUGAGUGAGGAUGUGUCUUUUCUGUUCUUAUUUCUUUCUUUUUUUCUUCUUUUUUUUACAUCCUGAAUGGAAUAGACUUUGGUUUCAGGAUGCUUUCGUAUCAAUGGCAAGGCACUAAAAGCAAUGCCUGUAAGAACCAAAUGGUGAACGUGUACUCUGGGAGUCAGAAAGUUCUCGUUACCCCAAAACCUAAUCAGAUUUCAGGGGUUUUAGUGUAAGUCUUCACAUCUUGUCCUCUGCUAUGUUGAGAGAAAUGCCAGCAGUUUCAUUAAGAACUCCCGUUCCUAAAUAAUUCCAUGGAUUUCUUUAGAAGAGCAGAGAAGAGGAGGAGGGGAGGAAUGCCGCAAUUGCACCUUCCUCUCCCAACCCAAAAUAUCCAGACUUGAAGGAACUUGAGGCCAAAUCCCUAUGAGCUGCUCCUCCUGUGCGUAAUCCCAUCUCCUGCAAAAACCCCAUUGAUGGCGGCCGCCAGCAUCCAGCCCAACGCAGGACGCCGAGGACGGGCGUCCAUCCAGCACGACAAGGGAUGCUGGAAGAGAUCCCUGCCGGGUACAGCUCCAUCUGCCUCUGACACUGCCUGGGCUCCAUGGACGGACAGCACCAGCACCUCGCGAGAGGAGCCGAGGAGUUUACCAACGUGCCCUAAUACAUCCUGAUGUUGUCAGACUAACUCUGCCAGCUGCUGCAGCACUCUGACUACAGAUUUGCUCCCAUUUCCCUGGUGCACAAUAAUUCUGGGAAGAAGAAAUGAAAGAUUUGCCCAUUGCCAGCAAAGCGGGAUGUGGCUUUGUGAAAAUCACUGGUUUGGACUCAUGCCUCAGUUUCCCCAGUGUGUGUGGUGAGACUUUUGCCUUUCCAGCAGUACCAUAAUAAGCAAAACAAGUAUAAUGAUAACGUUUACCACUAAUAUCUUUUAUGGCUAAUAAUUUUGCAGUCCUUAAUGGAAGCAUCUCUAUGGUGAUUCUGCAGGAUCAGGGCAUUCCUUUUGCCCCAAGCAGCCCCUAAAGACAGAACAACGACAAGAUCCAGCCAAAAUAACAUGACCAAAGUCAGAGUACAGAGUACAGAAGAGCCAGAAAGUGAGCAGAAGUCAGAGGCUAGCAUGGAAACUGCUACACCAUCUGUCCUCUCUGCUUGCUCGAAAGACUCUUCGCAAUUAGGGCAUAACUGAGUAUACAACAUUGUUUUCCUGCACUGUAUUCAAGCUUCGUUUCUCACUCGUUAUAAUGAGCUCAUUAUUGAUUUGUGGAGCUUCCCCUUUGAGCUUCUGUGUCUUUCAAAACACGUAGCCAACGUUCAGGCAAUAAAAGGGAUAUUCAUGUCA